UACGGAGGGUGCAAGCGUUAUCCGGAUUUACUGGGUUUAAAGGGUGUGUAGGCGGGCUUUUAAGUCAGUGGUGAAAUCUCCGGGCUCAACCUGGAAACUGCCAUUGAUACUAUUAGUCUUGAAUUUUGUUGAGGUGGGCAGAAUAUGUCAUGUAGCGGUGAAAUGCAUAGAUAUGUUAUAGAACACCGAUUGCGAAGGCAGCUGGCUAAACAUAUAUUGACGCUGAGGCACGAAAGCGUGGGUAGCGAACAGG
rnacentral:rRNA from 1 species